UACGAAGGGGGGCUAGCGUUGCUCGGAAUUACUGGGCGUAAAGCGCACGUAGGCGGCUCUUUAAGUCGGGGGUGAAAUCCUGGAGCUCAACUCCAGAACUGCCUUCGAUACUGAAGAGCUCGAGUCCGGGAGAGGUGAGUGGAACUGCGAGUGUAGAGGUGAAAUUCGUAGAUAUUCGCAAGAACACCAGUGGCGAAAGGCGGCUCACUGGCCCGGUACUGACGCUGAGGUGCGAAAGCGUGGGGAGCAAACAGG
rnacentral:rRNA from 1 species